CAAUGCUCGGCGAUCGCGGCAGCUGCUCUCCAAAUGUCAGCGCCAAGCCCGGCCAAAGGGCUGGAAGGCCACGGAGCCCAGGACUUUGUGCGCUACCUUUGUCGCCCACAUUUUCCCCAAGCACUCUCAGGACCCUGGCAACAGGUAACGUGGCAACCUUUGCCUUCUAAAACGGCAAGCGGCAGGAUUUCAGAGAACAAAAGGAUUUUUUGAAAGCCAGCUGCAUCUCCCCCGCCACCCCCUCCCCCCUCCCCCCUCCCCAUGCCCUCCCCCUCCGCCACUCCAAGUCUGAGAAAACAAAGUAUUGCUGCGGCAGGCCGGCUCUCGAGCGCCCCCUGGUGACCAAGCUCGGAACAUCACCGAUGUACCUUUCAAGGUACAACUUCAGUUCGAGGCUCGGCUCCCAGGCCGAAUGCCAUCCACACAAAAGAGCUCCUGUCGACAUCUCAUUUACAAUCUACCCCCAGGACACAGACAGGACCAUUUCAAUAAACCCGGCUCAGAAACACCUAUUGUUCAAAAUCUUCAACUAGCCACAGGCUACCACCACUCCCUAUUGUUUUGUAAAAGAAAAGAUUUAGAAGGAGCCAGAUUGGAACCUGGAAGCUCUGAAAAGAGGAAGGAAAAAAGUCCCUUUGACCCGAUGCUGUUGGAGAACGUGCGUGAAGAAUAAAGUUAAUGGAUUUUCAUUUUUACAAGAAGUGCAUAAGCAACGCCCACUCCCUUCCUGAACUCGUGAUCGGGGAUUCUACAAGAGGUGCCAACUUUGUAAAGAAGUUAACUCCUGCCAACGGGUUUGGUACCUGAAAAGUCAAAGUCUCUACUUAACCCUAUUCUCUGUCUUACAAAAGCCCUGAUGGCAGCCACAGCAAAGCACCGGAUCCUAUUAUUUCCUCUCUGGAGGAUGACAGCAACUUCCUACCUCCGCGUUCCUCAAACUACCUGCUGUGACUUAUUAACGGGUCAUGAAAUCAGUUGAGGUUUCAGAGCUCCUCCUCCUCCCGACCACUUUUCCUUUUAGCUGUUCAAGCCACCAAGUUCCCUGGCCUUUGCAGAUGGAAUUUCCCUAUAGGAACGUUCUGUCCUCUUUCUCCUUCAGGUAUCAGCUGAGGUGUCGCCUUUUCCAGGAAGUCUUCCGGAAGUCCCUCUAAAUGCCUCCUCUUAGUUCUCAUGAGAAACCCCCUCACGUUUUAUCUGACAGAGCACUUAUUGCAUCAUGAUUAUCUUCUCAGUUCCUUACAGAACUUUAAGCUCCAAGGGGCAGCCAGUAUAUAUUUGUUGGGGGUAAAUAUUGUGCAUUCAAUGUGUCACAUCUUACACAGUUCACACUUCCUUCCUACAAACCCAUUUGGAUAGUUAUAAAAUAUCGUAUCUCUAUUUCUCAAAGCUUUAGUUUUCAUUCUUUUACACUGAAGUGCCUCUUGUUCAUUUGCUCUUCAAAUACAACCUAAUCAACUUCCGAAUUCACUGGACUCCUCCUCUUAAAAAUCAAAAUAAUAAAAUGCGGGGAAAGCUGUUGUACCCCUGGCUGGUCACUCACCCUCUCUGAGCCUCAGAUAAUACAGAGAGCAGAGCUCACUCUAAGAUCUCUUCCAGGCUGCCACGCUGAACCUCUGGCUUGCACUUUCUAAGGACCAGAGAGGUUAAGUGACUUUCCCAAGGUCAAACAGCUCUCUAGUGGCAGGAUAUUGUCUGUCUUUCUAUAGAUUUUUAACAGCAAGCUGCAAACAAAAAACCUUCCACCCAGAAAUCGGUAGUGCCACUAAAAAGUGUGCCUGAAAGAGAAUCAUAAAAUUAAAGAAGGGACUUCCCAGGUGGCGCAGCGGUUCAGACUCCGUGCGCCCAAUGCCAGGGGCCCAGCUUUGAUCCCUGGCCAGGGAACUAGAUCCCCCAACUAAGGAGCCCUUGAGCUGCAACUAAAGGAGCCCAUCUGCUGCAACUAAGACCCAGUGCAACCAAAUAAACAAAUAAAUUUUUUUAAAUAAUAAAUAAAUAAAGUUAAAGAAUUAGGGGACUAAAAAAAACCAAAAGCCAACAGCAUUCAUAACGGAUUCCUGCCCAGGCAGGUCCCAACAUUUUAAAAACCAAUCUUGCUGUUAGAUGCAGAGAUGUUCAGAUUUCCUUUUAAAAACUGGAAGUGAAAAAUGCAAGAAACUUUUGCAUCCUGACCCCUUGUAGAGGCCCUUCUGCAGAGACACAAAUGGACACAGCCUUCCUCAAGGUGCUGAUUGGAGCAUCCCAGUGGCUUUUUUAGUGCUGAGGCCCUCGUGCCUUGAUCUGAUGCCACUCUGAGGACCAAAGCUGUAACUCACCAGGAUGAGGCUUGGCCUCAGUUCCUGUACCCCAACCCCCAUCCCUCCCGGCCAGGAGGACCACCUCACAGUCUCUGCUUUCAAGGACAGACUUGUGUUAUUUCCUUAGUUACAGAGUUUGGGGGUUAGAUAACCUGCUCUGUAAAAUAGAAAGUCAACAAACCAGAAAUACACCCCUUUAGGGAAAAAAAGAAACAAAAACAAUAGCUAUACUACUUUCCCCCCCAUGUUAUGUGCUAUGUUUUAUUCUAUAAUGUAAGGCAGCAUGUACAUUUGUUUUAUUUGUUGCUUUUUCCCCUCUAAACAGACCAGCAGUAGCUUGCCUUCAUUUGACAGAAAAUUUGUCACUUUCUACUGCAACUCUGUAUAAAACCACUGUGUAGGUGAGGACCCCAUGCGCACCAAGUCGUUAUAGCCAAGCCGUGGGCUUAUGGAGGAUUUUUACUUUAUUUUUUGGGCUUCUUGGAAUUUUCCGAUUUAAAAAAGACAAAUACUUGUUACUAUUGUAAUCAUAAAAAAGUACAAAUGUCAAAAUAAAGACCAGAUACACUAUUAUUUCUAUACUGCUAUGAUCCCUGACUAAAUUAAAUAGCUCUAUUUUUACCAUAUAUGUUGCUGUGUAUUUGUCUUUUUUUUAACCCAUUUGUUUUUGAAGGAAAUUAUAUACACCUGCCAUAUUAAAAAAAAUUAACAAAAACCUCUUAACACUUGAUAUUUUACUGUCUUUAAAAGCUUUAGGAACAUGGACUUUGGAGACACAGCCAAACACUGGCAUAUAACUCCUUUACCACCUGGCUGCAGUGCGAAUUAUUAGUUUCUCCUGACAUUUUCACACCUAACAACUUAUUUCCAGAAUAUCAUCUUUAUUCAUGCCUUUAUGCCUGUGGCAAAUGUUGUCUGCUUUCUCAUAACCACCCUCCUUGCUAACAGGGCCCUUCCAAGCAGCCAUGACUUUUUGGGGAGGGGGGCCCCUCCCUAGAUUUGGAGGCUGAAUCUUGAUUGUUCUACAAGACAGGGAUGAGGAGGGAAUUCUGAUGCGAGUGCUUCAUGGCAAGUUUACCUCCCUUUUUAAAGUGACACAAGUCAGGGACAUCCCUUUUCUUCCCCCGGACAUUGUCAUCAGCAAGGGAUACCCUGAACUGUGGCUGCCAUCUGGGGACCACAAGCAGCGCCUACUCCAGAAGACAGAAAGAUGGCACAAAGCUGAUUUUGGUACAUUCAUUGGCUGCCCUGACUCUAGACUGGCUAUUAUUGGAGAAAAUAAACGCCUUUACCAUCUAAGUCACUCUAAUUUUAUUUAUUUAAUUUUAUUUUUGGCUGUGUUGGGUCUUCGUUGCUGUGCGCGGGCUUUCUCCAGUUGUGGCGAGCAGGGGCUACUCUUCGUUGUGGUGCGCGGGCUUCUCAUUGUGGUGGCUUCUCUUGUUGCAGAGCAAGGGCUCUAGGCUCACGGGCUUCAGUAGUUGCAGCACGCAGGCUCA